rnacentral:rRNA from 1 species
UGUUCCCGGACCUUGUACACACCGCCCGUCAAGCGAUGGAAGUUGGGAGGACCUGAAGGCAGUUGUUGAGAGACGCUGUUUAGGGUUAAACCGAUAACUGGCGCU